CAUAGGCAGUGGCUUGGUUAAGGGAACGGAACCCACCGGAGCCAUAGCGAAAGCGAGUCUUAAUAGGGCGAUUGUCACUGCUUAUGGACCCGAACCUGGGUGAUCUAUCCAUGACCAGGAUGAAGCUUGGAUGAAACUAAGCAGAGGUCCGAACCGACUGAUAUUGGGCAAUUUGCUUUAUACCUACUAUUCUGUCUGUUUUUGGUUUCUAGUCUGAUUUUAUUAGUAGCUAUGAUUGGGGCUAUAGUACUUACUAUGCAUAGG
rnacentral:ncRNA from 1 species